UACGGAGGGUGCGAGCGUUGUCCGGAAUCACUGGGCGUAAAGGGCGCGUAGGCGGUUCUUCAAGCGUGUGGUGAAAGUCCGGGGCUCAACCCCGGAUCGGCCGUGCGAACUGGGGGACUUGAGCACUGUAGAGGCAGGUGGAAUUCCGGGUGUAGCGGUGGAAUGCGUAGAGAUCCGGAAGAACACCAGGGGCGAAGGCGGCCUGCUGGGCAGUGGCUGACGCUGAGGCGCGACAGCGUGGGGAGCAAACAGG
rnacentral:rRNA from 1 species